UACAGAGGGUGCGAGCGUUAAUCGGAAUUACUGGGCGUAAAGGGUGCGUAGGCGGCUCAUUAAGUCAGAUGUGAAAUCCCCGGGCUUAACCUGGGAACUGCGUUUGAUACUGGUGAGCUAGAGUAUGGUAGAGGUAAGUGGAAUUUCCGGUGUAGCGGUGAAAUGCGUAGAUAUCGGAAGGAACAUCAGUGGCGAAGGCAAUGUUCUGGCUCGUUUCUGACGCUCAGGUGCGAAAGCCAGGGGAGCGAACGGG
rnacentral:rRNA from 1 species